GGGGGGGGGGGGGGGCGGGCCGGGGGCGUGCGAGUCGAGCGGACGGACGGGGGGCUGGCUUUUCUGAUGUUAGCGGGGGACGGGUGAGUAACACGUGGAUAACCUACCUAUAAGACUGGGAUAACUUCGGGAAACCGGAGCUAAUACCGGAUAAUAUUUUGAACCGCAUGGUUCAAAAGUGAAAGACGGUCUUGCUGUCACUUAUAGAUGGAUCCGCGCUGCAUUAGCUAGUUGGUAAGGUAACGGCUUACCAAGGCAACGAUGCAUAGCCGACCUGAGAGGGUGAUCGGCCACACUGGAACUGAGACACGGUCCAGACUCCUACGGGAGGCAGCAGUAGGGAAUCUUCCGCAAAGGGCGAAAGCCUGACGGAGCAACGCCGCGUGAGUGAUGAAGGUCUUCGGAUCGUAAAACUCUGUUAUUAGGGAAGAACAUAUGUGUAAGUAACUGUGCACAUCUUGACGGUACCUAAUCAGAAAGCCACGGCUAACUACGUG
rnacentral:rRNA from 1 species